GACGAACCGUGCGAACGUUGUUCGGAAUCACUGGGCUUAAAGGGCGCGUAGGCGGUCGGGCAAGUCCGGGGUGAAAUCCUGCAGCUUAACUGUAGAAGUGCCUUGGAUACUGCCCGGCUCGAGGGAGGUAGGGGUCUGUGGAACUUCUGGUGGAGCGGUGAAAUGCGUUGAUAUCAGAAGGAACGCCGGUGGCGAAAGCGACAGACUGGACCUCUUCUAACGCUGAGGCGCGAAAGCUAGGGGAGCAAACGGG
rnacentral:rRNA from 1 species